UCCUUUUUCUUUUUAAAACUAAAUCUACAGAGACAAGCCUCCCUUCCCUUGUUAUUUCCGAUAUCCUCUUCUUAAAGUCCGUCACUGUUUCUAUCUAACCAACACGAUCACAAAGGGUCCCGAUCGCGGAUUCAAUUUCUUUCUAUGCAACCAUUAAUAGUUCAGAGUAUCGCAAAGAGUACGAAGCGAGGUUGAGGCAGUAAGCUUGGGAAGAGCUUGCAGCCAUGAGCUUGAGCAAAAGUUGGUAUUUUUGCUUUGUCUAUAAUGUGUAUAUCACGGGGCUAUCUGGGUUGUUUUAAAUUUCUUGCUUGACCCAUGCUUUUGUAGUGCAUUUUGCUGUGUAUAUUGUAAUGGGAUCUUAUGCAAAGUUUUUAAAUAGUUUGUCUGGAACCGUAGUUGUGUUUAAAGGUCUUAUAUUUUUUGGGCAUA